AUUGAACGCUGGCGGCAGGCCUAACACAUGCAAGUCGAACGAGUGGCGGACGGGUGAGUAAUGUCUGGGAAACUGCCUGAUGGAGGGGGAUAACUACGGGAAACGGUAGCUAAUACCGCAUACCAUCGGAUGUGCCCAAAUGGGAUUAGGUAGUUGGUGGGGUAAAGGCUCACCUAGGCGACGAUCCCUAGCUGGUCUGAGAGGAUGACCAGCCACACUGGAACUGAGACACGGACCAGACUCCUACGGGAGGCAGCAGUGGGGAAUAUUGCUCAAUGGGCGCAACCCUGACGCAGCCAUGCCGCGUGUAUGAAGAAGGCCUUCGGGUUGUAAAGUACUUUCGGCGGGGAGGCGUUACCUGCAGAAGAAGCACCGGCUAACUCCGUGCCAGCAGCCGCGGUAAUAC
rnacentral:rRNA from 1 species